rnacentral:rRNA from 1 species
AAUCAACGCUGGCGGCGUGCCUCAGACAUGCAAGUCGAACGCGAAAGUUCCCUUCGGGGAGCAAGUAGAGUGGCGCACGGGUGAGUAACACGUAGGUAAUCUACCUUCGGGUGGGGAAGUAACAAUCGGAAACGGUUGCUAAUACCGCAUAAUGCAGCGGCACCUAAUGGUGACAGUUGUUUAAAGCGGGGGAGUCGCAAGAUCUCGCGCCUGAAGAGGAGCCUGCGGCGGAUUAGCUAGUUGGUAGGGUAAUGGCCUACCAAGGCGACGAUCCGUAGCCGGCCUGAGAGGGCGGUCGGCCACACUGACACUGACAUACGGGUC